UACGUAGGUGGCAAGCGUUGUCCGGAUUUACUGGGCGCAAAGAGCGCGCAGGCGGUCGUUCAAGUCGCGUGUGAAAGCCCCCGGCUCAACUGGGGAGGGUCACGCGAUACUGAUCGACUCGAAGGCAGGAGAGGGUAGUGGAAUUCCCGGUGUAGUGGUGAAAUGCGUAGAUAUCGGGAGGAACACCAGUGGCGAAGGCGACUACCUGGCCUGUUCUUGACGCUGAGGCGCGAAAGCUAGGGGAGCAAACGGG
rnacentral:rRNA from 1 species